GAUGAACGCUGGCGGCGUGCCUAAUACAUGCAAGUAGAACGCUGAAGGAGGAGCUUGCUCUUCUGGAUGAGUUGCGAACGGGUGAGUAACGCGUAGGUAACCUGCCUGGUAGCGGGGGAUAACUAUUGGAAACGAUAGCUAAUACCGCAUGACAACAGUUAUUGCAUGAUAACUGUUUAAAAGGGGCAACUGCUCCACUACCAGAUGGACCUGCGUUGUAUUAGCUAGUUGGUGAGGUAACGGCUCACCAAGGCGACGAUACAUAGCCGACCUGAGAGGGUGGUCGGCCACACUGGGACUGGGACACGGCCCAGACUCCUACGGGAGGCAGCAGUAGGGAAUCGUCGGCAAUGGACGGAAGUCUGACCGAGCAACGCCGCGUGAGUGAAGAAGGUUUUCGGAUCGUAAAGCUCUGUUGUAAGAGAAGAACGAGUGUGAGAGUGGAAAGUUCACACUGUGACGGUAUCUUACCAGAAAGGGACGGCUAACUACGUG
rnacentral:rRNA from 1 species